UACUAACGAAAGGCCAUCUCUAGUUUUAUGCAUAGCCACGCAUGCCCGCUAUAUCUUAAGUUCGUGUUGUGUUCGUGUUUAAUUAAGCUAACUGAAAUCGGGAUACCAAUGUGAUAAGAACGCGCGUCCUAAGCGAGGUGAAAAAUGUACAUGGGCGUGUGAGCAGAGCCGAAACCGAACGCAGAAAGCAGCAAACAAUUCCACCGAGCCACCGCCUAACUGCGCAACGGCGAGUAAAUUAGUCGUUACCUGAAUCGAAUACACACACCGACAGCCACCAUGUUGAAGUUCAUACGAGGCAAGGGCCAGCAGCCCACCGCGGAGCGGCAGCGCCUGCAGAAGGAUCUAUUUGCAUACCGCAAGACCGCGCAACAUGGAUUCCCCCACAAGCCCUCGGCGCUGGCCUACGAUCCGGUGUCGAAGCUCAUGGCGAUCGGCACCCAGACGGGCGCCAUCAAGGUCUUCGGCCAGCCCGGCGUGGAGCUGUACGCCCAGCACACCCUGGUCAACAAUUCGGCAGCGGAGCUGAACGUCCAGCUCCUGGAGUGGGUCUACGGCACGGGCCGCAUUCUCUCGCUGACAGCCGCCAACCAGCUCAUCCUGUGGGAGCCCGUGGGCAGUACCCUGGUGGCCAUCAAGUCACUGCCCUUCGACGGCAAACUCAAGAAGGUCUCUUCCCUGUGCUGCUCCCUGAACAAGGAUGUGCUGUGGAUCGGAACGGAGGGCGGCAACAUCUACCAACUGGACCUGCACUCCUUCACCAUACGGGAGCCGGUCAUCUACCACGACGUGGUGCUGGAGCAGGUCCCGCCCGCCUACAAACUGAACCCGGGCGCGAUCGAGUCCAUCCGCCAGCUGCCCAACGCCCUCAACAAGCUGCUCAUCGCCUACAAUCGGGGACUGUGCGUGCUGUGGGACCUGGACACGUCUUCCGUGGAGCGCGCCUACAUAGCGCCCGGACACGGACAGAGCGUGGGACUCUCGGUGCACACUGAUGGCUCCGAGUUCAGCUGGUACCACGCGGACGGCUCCUACGCCACCUGGAACAUAGGCAGCGCCGAUCCCCCCAAGAACGUCAACUACGUGCCCUACGGCCCGGACCCGUGCAAGAGCAUCAAUCGCCUCUUCAAAGGCAAGAGGGGUUCCAGCGAUGUGAUUGUGUUCUCCGGAGGGAUGCCCCGCUCCGCCUACGGGGACCACAACUGCGUGUCCGUGCACGUCAGCGAUGGGGAGAAGGUGUGCCUCGACUUCACCUCCAAGGUGAUUGACUUCUUCGUCACCUACAAGGAGGACAGCGACGUGGCCCAGGUGCUGAUUGUGCUGCUGGAGGAGGAGCUGUGUGCCUACGACCUCACGGACUCCAACAUACCCGCCAUCAAGGCGCCCUACCUCCACUCGGUGCACGCGUCGGCCGUCACCUGCAACUACCUCGCCUCCCAGGUAAACCAGGCCGUGUACGAGCGCAUACUGCGCGCCGGGGACGAGCAGGACAUCGACUACAGCAGCAUUGACUGGCCCAUCACCGGCGGUGUGCUGCCCGAAGACGAGGCCGCCGCCGCCUCGGACGAGGAGGAGGCCGCAAAGGAGUACGAGAUUCUGCUGACCGGCCACGAGGACGGCUCCGUCAAAUUCUGGGACUGCACUGGUGUGCUGCUGAAGCCGAUCUACAACUUCAAGACGGCGGGCAUUUUCGGAAACGAACACGACUUCCGGGACGAGACGGCUGCUGACAAUGCGGACCCGCUGGACGAGGGGGAGCCUCCCUUCCGGAAGGCCGGUCUCUUCGAUCCCUACUCCGACGAUCCCCGGCUGGCCGUCAAGAAGAUAGCCCUGUGCCCCAAGACGGGUCAGCUCAUUGUUGGCGGCACAGCUGGACAGAUCGUGAUCGCGGACUUUGACGACGCCGCCGAGGAGAGCGGCCCCCUGAAGUACAGCUCCAUGAACUUGGUCAGCGACCGCGACGGGUUCGUGUGGAAGGGACACGAUCAGCUGAAUGUGCGGGCAAACCUGCUGGAGGCCAGCGCUGCCCCCUUGGCUGAGAACGGCGUGAACAUCACGGGGGUGCUGCAGGUCCUGCCGCCGGCUAGCAUCACAUGCAUGGCUCUCGAGGCCAACUGGGGCCUGGUGUCCGGAGGAACUGCCCACGGACUGGUGCUCUUCGACUUCAAGAACUUUGUGCCGGUCUUCCAUCGGUGCACCCUGAACCCGAACGAUCUCACCGGGGCCGGCGAGCAGCUGUCCCGCCGCAAGUCGUUUAAGAAGUCGCUGCGCGAGUCCUUCCGGAAGCUACGCAAGGGCCGCUCGACCCGGAACAACCCCACCAACCAGGUUCCGACAACGCUGGAGGCACGACCUGUGGAGCGGCAAAUCGAGGCCCGCAAUGCCGACGACGGGCUGGGAUCGAUGGUGCGCUGCUUGCUGUUCGCGAAAACCUACGUGACGAACGUCAACAUAACAUCACCCACCCUGUGGUCGGCCACGAACUCGAGCACCGUCUCGGUGUUCCUCCUGCACUUGCCCCCGGCGCAGACCGCCGCCACCGCGAUACCCCCGAUAAGUGGCAACGCUGCGCCCCAAACCCCACGUCGUAUUUCCGCGCAGCUCGCCAAGGAAAUUCAGCUCAAGCACCGAGCCCCCGUCGUGGGCAUAUCCAUUUUCGAUCAGACUGGCUGCCCGGUGGAUCAGCUGAACGCCGGCGAGAACGGAACACCACCCCACCGCCUGCUCAUCGCCUCCGAGGAGCAGUUCAAGGUGUUCUCCCUUCCGCAGCUGAAGCCGAUCAACAAGUACAAGCUGACCGCCAACGAGGGCGCCCGCAUCCGGCGCAUCCACUUCGGAUCGUUCAGCUGCCGCAUUUCGCCGGAGCUCCUGCAGAGCCUCCACGCCGGAAGUCCCACCAAGUCCACGCGCUCCCACGGCGAGGCCGACGGAGCGGCCAAUACCAGCGCCACCUCGGGUGGACGCGGGGAUCUGUACCACGAGAUGGCCCUGAUUUGCCUCACCAACAUGGGAGACAUCAUGGUGCUGUCAGUGCCGGAGCUGAAGAGGCAGCUGAACGCCGCGGCAGUGCGACGGGAGGACAUCAACGGAAUUUCGUCCCUUUGCUUCACCAACGCUGGCGAGGCCCUGUACAUGAUGUCUUCCUCGGAACUGCAGCGCAUCGCCCUGGCCACCUCCAAAGUGGUGCAGCCCACAGGCGUAGUGGAAGUGGAGCCGCUGGAGAGCGAAGAGACCUCGCUGCCGGCCAACGACGAGGACGAAAGCGACAAGGAGACGGACCUCCAGAAGGAAGUGAACGAAGCUAUCAAGGAGCCGCCUGUGGCCACCCAGCGCGUCAAGCCCGUGGAAGUGAGUGUGGACCGAAGCAGUCUGCACCUGGCCAAUGGCAUCAGCAGCAGCAACUCACCCAACCGUGCCAACGAGACCAUCACCAGUUCUAUCGGUGACAUCACCGUCGAUUCGGUGCGUGACCAUCUGAACACCACCACGACCACCUUGUGUUCCACGACUACAGAGGAGACUGUGGGUCGAUAAUCUGUGCUUAGCACGCAAACCAACCAGCAGACCACCACCGUCAAUGUCAACGACAUUCCGAACAUCAACAUCCCCAACCUGAUGGACUUGGCCUCGAAAAGCAACACCACCGAGACGAGCACCAGCUCCGUGGUGAUCAAGUCGGUCAUCACGAGCAUAUCCCACGAUAAGACGAACGGCGAGAGCGAGGCCCGGACGACCAAGACCACGACGCACGAGGAGAGCCAGUUCUAGACGGGCCAGGUCGGUCCAACACCCAGCAUACCAGAUGCUCACCAGGAAUUUACGGAUGAAGGCCAACUCGGCCACCCACUCGACAAGUUUCGCACAAUUUGAUUCGCAUUGACGGAGAGGAAGCCCAUUUCACAACCAUAUCGCACAGUCAGUGCCCCACCAUGCUUACGUCUUUGGCGUAUCUAGGGGGGACACUCUUGUGUCGGCCACACAACACCACUUUCUUCUGAAGAAACUGAAACUUGAUGUGCUCCACUGUGGCCGCAACUGUAUUUUAGUUUGUAGAUCGACCCCCUGACACUUUUAAGAGACGCGACCGCGGAGGUCAACCAACGGUCCACGAACAGCAACUAUUGCAUUUUAUUCGAAACAACAAUCUAUAUUUAAUAUCAUUGCACGUUAUUUUUGUAAUCCAUGUUUUUGUAAGCCCAUAUUGUACUUUUACAACCGACGCCGUUUAAAUAUGAUAGUGAAAUUUAGCAUACCUGUAGUGAUUUGAUGUUGACCAGGAGUGACCAGCUCCCAGGAGUAUUUCCACGCCUACUUAUAGACACCGCCCUGUUCCGAGACCCACCAGGUCCACAAUUGAACACACAUUCCCGGGCCUGGGAGGCGAUCAGGGCCGAUCAAGUACAAUACGAAACAAGUAUGCCUUAUAAAAAUAAUAUAUUUACAGAUUUUGAAAAGUAUUAAAACCAAUAUUUACAACA